UUCUCAUCCUCACCUCUCACCUGCAAAAUUAUCGAAUUCCUUCACAAACCCAGUUUCUCUUCCCCUCAAAGUUUUAAUCUUUCGGUUCGAAUACUCGAAUUUUAAAGUCUUUUAGGAGUCUGAGGUUUGGGUUUUUCUCAGACGCAGAUUUUAACAGAAAAUAUGCUUCUACGGAGCUCAUCGACGCCGGUGCCCAACUCAUGGCUGCAGUAUUCCAAAGAUUCAACAUUUUUCGAUCAGCAACCGGAAAUGGUGCAGCAAAUCCAGAGAACUCGCUCCGUUACCCUCUCGGCGUCGUCGCGGUCGCCCCUUUUGCUGUCGCCGAUCAGCGACUCGGGUAGGAGGUUGACCCGGGCGGUCUCCGAGGACGAUCUCAGAGAUUUCAUGGUGGCGCGGCCGAAAAGAAAGUCCUUCAGCAUCCCGAUGGAUGGGUUUGAGGAGAGAGAGGAGCGAAACGAGAUAAAAAUGGAGAUGGGUUUUUCUGCCUCUGGGUUGGGCAGAACGGCCUCCUUGGGAUUGGCGGAGUUGGAGAGGUGUGAGGCCGGGUUGAGGGAGGACAGGAGGUUGCUGAGCGAUUUGGAAGGGGGCGGCGUUGGUGGAGGAGGCGGCAAGAUCUGCGGUGGUAAUGGCGGAGGGAGAGGUGAAUCGGACGACGGAGAUGAUGAGGGCAAUGGAUUUUGGGAAUCGAAUCAAGGCGGUGCGAGCACCGAUUUGUACUACCAGAAAAUUAUUGACGCUAAUCCUGGAAAUCCCAUGCUCCUUGGCAAUUAUGCUCGCUUUUUGAAAGAGGUUCAAGAGGAUUUCGGAAAAGCCGAAGAGUACUGCGGGAGAGCAAUUCUGGAGUGCCCGAAUGACGGAACUGUUCUGUCAAUGUUUGCGGAUUUGGUAUGGCAGAUUCACAAGGAUGCUCCAAGAGCUCAGUCUUACUUUGAUCAAGCUGUUCAAGCUGCCCCCGAUGAUAGUUAUGUUCUAGCAUCAUAUGCCAAUUUCUCUGGGACUCCGAGGAGGAAGACGAAGAGGAGGAGGAGGAGGAGGAGGAGGUGAAUCUGAAAGAAGGGGGGAAUAACAGAGCGUCGCCAACCAAUUUGUUUCCUGGAAUUCCUCCUUCACCACCUCCAUUAGCUGCUGCUGCAUAGUUAUAUAUAGAGAGAUAUAUGUAUCUAUAUGUUCAGAGGCUGACCUUUCUGUUUAUAUUUUUAAACUUUUGAAACCUUUUUUUAGUGAUCCUUUGGCUGCAGCUGGGGGUGAGAAAUUGGGUUGUGUUAACUGACGGCUCUGUUUUUGUUUUCAAGAUCUUUUUCUAGUCAUAUCUAAUGUAACAAAAAUAAGUGACGAAAUGGAGUUUUUUGAAGGCAUAA